AGUCAAAUGUUCUUCGUGAACAUGGCGUACUGCUCAGUAACACGUGGACAACCUGCCCUAAGGUCUGGCAUAACUCCGGGAAACUGGGGAUAAUUCCAGAUGAAUCAUAGAUACUGGAAUGUUCUGUGAUUAAAAGCUCCGGCGCCUUAGGAUGGAUCUGCGGCCUAUCAGGUAGUAGUGGGUGUAAUGUACCUACUAGCCUACGACGGGUACGGGUUGUGAGAGCAAGAGCCCGGAGAUGGAUUCUGAGACAUGAAUCCAGGCCCUACGGGGCGCAGCAGGCGCGAAAACUUUACAAUGCGGGAAACCGCGAUAAGGGGACACUGAGUGCCAGCACCAUGUGUUGGCUGUCCGCAUGUAUAAAUCACAUGUGUCAGCAAGGGCCGGGCAAGACCGGUGCCAGCCGCCGCGGUAACACCGGCGGCCCGAGUGGUGGCCAUUAUUAUUGGGUCUAAAGGGUCCGUAGCCGGUUUGAUCAGUCUUCCGGGAAAUCUGACAGCUCAACUGUUAGGCUUCUGGGGGAUACUGUCAGACUU
rnacentral:rRNA from 1 species